rnacentral:pre_miRNA from 1 species
AAUGCAGUAUGCUGAACUGUAUGAUAUGUGUAAAUUUUUAAGAGACUGCUAAACUGUCUUCCAGAGUGGCUGUAUCAUUUUGUAUUUUUACCAGCAAU